rnacentral:tRNA from 1 species
GGCCGAGCGGUUGAAGGCACCGGUCUUGAAAACCGGCGACCCGAAAGGGUUCCAGAGUUCGAAUCUCUGCGCUUCCGCCAAACAAUCA